GCGGGACAUUAGCUAGUUGGCGGGGUAACGGCCCACCAAGGCGACGAUGUCUAGGGGAUCUGAGAGGAUGGCCCCCCACACUGGUACUGAGACACGGACCAGACUCCUACGGGAGGCAGCAGUAAGGAAUAUUGGUCAAUGGGCGCAAGCCUGAACCAGCCAUGCCGCGUGCAGGAAGACGGCCCUACGGGUUGUAAACUGCUUUUGUACCGGAAUAAACCUUUGGUCGUGACCGAAGCUGAAUGUACGGUAAGAAUAAGGAUCGGCUAACUCCGUGCCAGCAGCCGCGGUAAUACGGAGGAUCCAAGCGUUAUCCGGAUUUAUUGGGUUUAAAGGGUGCGUAGGUGGCCUAUUAAGUCAGGGGUGAAAGACGGUAGCUUAACUAUCGCAGUGCCUUUGAUACUGAUGGGCUUGAAUACAGAUGAAGUGGGCGGAAUGUGACAAGUAGCGGUGAAAUGCAUAGAUAUGUCACAGAACACCGAUUGCGAAGGCAGCUCACUAAAUUGUGAUUGACACUGAGGCACGAAAGCGUGGGGAUCAAACAGGAUUAGAUACCCUGGUAGUCCACGCCCUAAACGAUGAAUACUCGAUGUUGGCGAUAUACGGUCAGCGUCUAAGCGAAAGCGUUAAGUAUUCCACCUGGGGAGUACGCCCGCAAGGGUGAAACUCAAAGGAAUUGACGGGGGCCCGCACAAGCGGAGGAGCAUGUGGUUUAAUUCGAUGAUACGCGAGGAACCUUACCCGGGCUUGAAAGUUAGUGAAUGAUUCAGAGACGAAUCAGUCCUUCGGGACACGAAACUAGGUGCUGCAUGGCUGUCGUCAGCUCGUGCCGUGAGGUGUUGGGUUAAGUCCCGCAACGAGCGCAACCCCUAUGUUUAGUUGCCAGCACGUCAAGGUGGGGACUCUAAACAGACUGCCUACGCAAGUAGAGAGGAAGGAGGGGACGACGUCAAGUCAUCAUGGCCCUUACGUCCGGGGCUACACACGUGCUACAAUGGAUGGUACAGAGGGCUGCUACCUGGCAACAGGAUGCCAAUCUCUAAAAGCCAUUCACAGUUCGGAUCGGGGUCUGCAACUCGACCCCGUGAAGUUGGAUUCGCUAGUAAUCGCGUAUCAGCAAUGACGCGGUGAAUACGUUCCCGGGCCUUGU
rnacentral:rRNA from 1 species